rnacentral:lncRNA from 1 species
GUUUUAACCAUCUAGAGUAGACUGUUUUAACCAUCUAGAGUAGACUGUUUCAACCAUCUAGAGUAGACUGUUUUAACCAUCUAGAGUAGACUGUUUUAACCAUCUAGAGUAGACUGUUUUCAACCAUCUAGAGUAGACUGUUUUCAACCAUCUAGAGUAGACUGUUUUAACCAUCUAGAGUAGACUAGUUUCAACCAUCUAGAGUAGACUGUUUCAACCAUCUAUUGUAGACUGUUUAAACCAUCUAGAGUAGACUGUUUUCAACCAUCUAGAGUAGACUGUUUUCAACCAUCUAGAGUAGACUGUUUCAACCAUCUAGAGUAGACUGUUUCAACCAUCUAGAGUAGACUGUUUUCAACCAUCUAGAGUAGACUGUUUUCAACCAUCUCGACUCAGACACUUCCUAGUACAUCGUUCAUGUUAUACCACCACCUAGAGAAUAGACGUUAGCUCUGUGUCCAUCUCCUCCAUUAUGGGCGUUUUAACCCAAAAGACAAUGAGAGAGGGAGGGAAGUAAACCCAAGAGCAAAGCACAGAAUGAAGAAACAGAGGCAGUAUGUGUACUGUAGUCAGCACCAAGGCUACGUCGCUAGCUAGCUAGCUGUAAUCCCAGGGGCUGUUUGCUGUUGGUGAUGGUUCGUGUUAGCGAUGAGGCAGGGGUGUACAGAGAUGUAAUGGGUUGAGGGAGAUAGCCAUGUCUCCAAAAACCUAAGGUGAGUGUUCUGAAAGCUUUAUGGCUAACGUGGUACUUCAUUUCUCUCGACAACCCAGACUCAAGCCAUAUGUAGAACAUCAAACAUUGAUUUUGCAAUUGGUGCUCUCAUGGUUCAGUUGUCAAGAUAGACAAAGUGCCACGUUAGCCAUGAAGGUUCUGGGAAACUCUGAGUUCUGAGGUGUGUGGCAGGAAGUGAGAAAGGCUAAGGACAGCAGGUGAGGCAGGCUAAGAACAGGUGGUGUCUAGAUGCCUUAAGACGGUGUUUCAAAAGGGGUGUGUAUCAGUUUUAUGGUGUGACGUGACUGAAGAGGUUUUUAGUCGAUCAGACAGACAGUUGGUUUGGGUCGAGACGGGGCUGGUGUGAGAAUGAAAACCACUGACUAAAGGGUUACUGACUCAGUCUUUGGUCGGAUGACAGAACUCACCUCCUUGACGUAGACUCAAACCAACAUGUCUGAACAUCAUCAAGCCAACCAACAUUCGCACACAACCUCUCUCUCUAGGAGAGGUCCACCUCUCUCUCUAGGAGAGGUCCAUCUCUCUCUCUAGGAGAGAUCCACCUCUCUCUCUAGGAGAGGUCCAUCUCUCUCUCUAGGAAAAGUCCAUCAACUAAUAUUUGUUUUCUUUAACCAUAUGUGUAGAGCUGUGUUCAGAGGAGAGGAGUGACGGAAAGGAAAAUAAAGAUGAAUUUACUACUCUGUGAUUUGUGAUUUCUGUCUGUGUGUCUGUGUCCUGAUG